rnacentral:misc_RNA from 1 species
GCAAACUUGGUCAUUUAGAGGAAGUAAAAGUCGUAACAAGGUUUCCGUAGGUGAACCUGCGGAAGGAUCAUUAGUGAAUAAACAAGUGCUGGCUGUGCUGGUCAUUCGUGGCAUGUGCACGUCAGCUCGUUUCAUUCUAUCUUUCCACCUGUGCACUUUGUGUAGUCUAUUGUAUUGCUGCUUUUCAGGCAUUAGUCUGGUUGAGAGGUUGCUUGUUCCCUUGGAUCAGGCUCUUCUUGGGCAUGCAGUAGGCUAUGUUCAUUACCAACACCAUAGAAAUGUUAUAGAAUGUGUAUUAGGCUUUUCAGCCUUUAAAUCAUAAUACAACUUUCAACAACGGAUCUCUUGGCUCUCGCAUCGAUGAAGAACGCAGC